AUCCAAGCACUAUCGCAUAGUCAGUAAGUCAUAUUUUACAGCUUUCGACUUUCCAAAAUAAUUCUGGAUAUAGCUAUUUUAUGGGUACUUUUAGUGUCUUUGUGGUAUGUGAUGUGAUAGUGUUUAUAUAAUUAACAAUAUCUUCACUUUUCAAGGGAACCUUGGAAGUCUGUCACUCUAAAUGAGUCUAUCACUCUAAAUAAAUAUGUGCUCAAGUAUGACCAGCUCAGUUUAAGACACAAAACAGCAACUUGAAGGAGGAAAACUGAAGAGAGUUUAUAGCCUCAGGAAAACUUUAGAGUAAUGCUUGCAGGAGCACUAACUGUUACAAGGAGGGUGAGAUCGAGAGUUCCAGAAAAAUAAGAGAGUCUUGCAUCUGGAGCAUAAAUGAUCUUCAAGAAAUACACACAGGAAGUUGAACAGGUAUAGAAACUUCAGAGAAGCUCUCUGGUCUCUCAAAAAUCCCUGUAAAUAUCUCAGAGCAGCUGGGAUGCCUCAUUAUCCCCAGAUGCCUAAUUCAUUCUCAUCAUUGUGACUUCAAUCUUUAGUAUCUCAACAAAUAUGGAUAUCCAGCCACUUCUCAACCUCAAAUCCUCAAGAAAAAAGUGAGAUCAUGGGCUGCGUAUUUGAUCCAAUUAAGCUUCAUCAAGUCCUGGGAGUGUCAUCUUCCUAUUUUAGAUAUAACUGUGGCCAAAAUAUUUAUCUACCACACAGCUCAUGUUUUCCUUCUCUAAGAAUACAACAAUUGCCCUGAUUAAGGUCUCUUUCGAAAACCUCUAAAAUACCAACUACUCACUGUUUCCAAUUACUCGAGGGAAAGCUAACUUCCAGACAGUCUAUCUGGGUGCAAUUAUUUCAAAUAUUUCUAAGUACUUGGGAUGAAGAGCUCUUGAAACUUUAGUCUCUGAUGACCAGUAUAUGAAUUCAGGUGCCUUUGAGACCUAAAGAAAACAAGAGAGUUCAUUUGAAGGAGGGAGGGUGGGAAAAAUAGGAGGAAGUGUAGUGUUUAGAUUCAUCAGUUUGGAAAGACUUUAAAAAUAUUUAUAUCAGUAUUGAGGAUUUGUGUAUGUUUUAUUUCUUGUCGUGGCUUUGAAGCAGUUACAUGUAUAUCCUCAAAGAUUUUAAGUAUUAUUUCAUAGAGAAUAUCUAUUUAUAAACACAAAUGUAUGAGAUGACUUUCAAUUUUGUUUUAUUUUUGCUGCAUCUCUUGGCCUGCAUUUUUUUUUAACUUGAUUUCUUCUAAACUUUGUGAGCCCAGGACAGUGGUUUAUGGGAAUUUUCUGAAAGGACAUCUGGAAAACCAGUUAAUGACAUCUCAGGUUGAGCAAGUACCCAUGCUAUGGUUCAGAUGUGUCCUAGUCUCCUGAUAAAGUUAAUAUAUAGGUUUAGAGUACAAUAAUCACAAUAAUAAUAAUAUAGCUAUGCUAUAUGGAUCCCGAAAAAAAUAAAAGAAAUAGAAAGCUCUCCUUCCUCCCCAUGACUAUGAGUUCUUCAAACUGUCAGUUCUUCAAAAAGCUCACGUUUUCUGUGCCUUUAAAUUUUAUGCCAGUCACUGUAUAGUUUAAUGCAUUUUGAAAAUUAUUCUUCACAAUGACUCUAUAAGGUAGGUAAUAGUAUCAUCCUCAUUUCAUAGACUUGGAAACUGGACUUAGAGAGGUUAGCACCUUGCCAAAGUUACAAGGUUGUGAGUGGCAGAGUCAGAACUCAAAUCUAGCCCUGGCCUGAAGCCCAAGCCUUACCCACUGUGAUUUACCACCUUUCCUGUAUCAUCCAAGCUGCCCUUGAAGGCUGACACUGAGACCCAGUUAGCCUGAACAUAGAGGUACCACUGGGCCCUGGAGAGGCAAAGGCUUAAAUUGCUAAUUCCAAAGGUAUGGACAACUUCUAUUGAAUUUGUUGAAAAUAAUGAAAUCUAGUUCUUCAACAAUUUAGGGAACACUGUCAGUAUUGAAAUUUGAUUUUGGUUUUGUCUCUCUUUUUAAGCAGGUGACAUGAAGAAAAUUUCAUUUGGAGAACAAGGACUAUUAUGUCCACUGAGUUUCUACAUGUCCAUUUAGUUUCUACUCUGUGUUGCUAGGUAUGAGGAACAGAGAAGUUAACAAAACAUGGUCCUUGCACCAAAACACAUAAACAUGUGACUAAAGCGUCUAUUUCACUGGGCAAAUGAUAGUUUUGUCCCUUAAGUCUACAUUUACUAUUAACACCUGGCUAAUCUCCUUAGGGUUAAUAACCCACAGUGGACACCUUCUUGGUCUACACUACUAAAAUGAGCUUGGUUCCCUUAAGGGUUCCUUUCCAAGUUUUCUGAGUGAACUGUGGGGUUAAUUCCACCACCUCCAAACGUUUGCCACUUGUACACUUCUCUCCUUCCAUCUUCUUUGCAGAGCAGCCUUAUGCAGAAAACAAGCUCAAAAAUACAGAUUUUUCUUUGGGCGGGAUUCACACCCAACUCCCAAUGAAACAGAAUUCUAGGAGGUGAGAGCCAAAGUGGUAGAAUUGACCAUAAAAACACUUGAUCCAUCCCUUCUUUUUAAAAUGGAAUAACCAAAACUUUGAAGAGAUAAGUGGCUUGCCUGUUGUCCCGGAGAAAUAAACAACAAAUUCGAAACUUGAA